GUUUAUAUAUGUAUAUAUACAGGGUUUUAUUAAUGAUAUUACAAAUUAUAUGUUUGCCAUAAAAAAACAAUAUUUAGUUAUAAUCAUUUAAAAUAAUAAAACAAAUAAUUAUAGCUAGCAUACUUUAAGCCGGUCUGUAUGGUACUGUCUUCAACUCUUCGUUAUUGAGCUAAAAGAAGAAAAAAAGGAUACUGGCAACACGGUUGACACCAUCAACAGUUUCGUGCUUGUUGCGAGCGCCUACACGCGUAGUCCAAAACAGCCGAAGUCAUACAAAAUCAUGAAAAAGUCUGCGCCCUUUUGUUCCGGCAUCCUCGUGAAGUUUACCGAGUCGAACCGAAUAGUUGUGUUCGAUAAACAUGUGUGCGUAUCAGGUAGCAGCAUUUGUACUGCUUACCUGCCGUAUGCCGCUGUGAUACCGAGCGAGACGCAUAGACAACGCGUCUAGAGGACAUGUGUAGCCGUGAGGAAUUUUUUCUGUGUCUCUUUUGCCUUGUCCUUGCCUUUAGAUCCUGAUGAGUGAAGCAUGCACACCUUUCGGGUACGUUCGUGGUAUAAGCUCUGUCUCUCUCAUGUUAAUGGUGAAGAUAGAAUCGUUUGCCAUCGGCUCUGCAUUCGAGCGUGGGCAGGCCCGUAGACGCCGUCUCCCACCCAAGUAGCAGAGCCGAAGUUUUUCAGAGAUUUUUCUGUGUGCCAAAGCGAGAUGCCCUGUCUUCUCUCUCUAGAUUUUGGACAGCAAACCGCCGCGCGUGUAGAGGUGUGUGCGUGUGACGAAAAAUGAUGGAUGAAAAACACGAGGAGCCGGGUCUGAAGUCUUUCGUUGGUCACACACACAUGCAUCUACCAGCGGAUUGCGCCACACCGAGUCUACCCAGCUCUCUCGAUCUACCAUGAUUUUUUCUGCUAUCGCACUCAUCCGGGAGUUAGGCAUCCUCAGUCUGUCCAGAACUUUCGUUGUGGAAGGAUGUGCGGGAGUGAUGUGCGAUUUCUUGUGUCCCCUACUUUCGUUGUUUACGUUUUGCGCAGUGUUGCUUCUUCUUCCAUUGUGUAAUGAUUUAUCCUAGCUAACUUGUUGAGUUACAGGUGCAUGCGCCAUUCAUCAACGCCUACCUGUUGGAAUCAUCAACAAUCUUCAAAAUGGGUGACGGAAAGAAAUUGUUUUCCAGUUUUAAAAUAUUACGCGUUCAGCACAACUCAGCCACAAAACAACGCACUGGAUUGCGCUAAGAACCUGUCGAAACGCGCGCAGCCCCCGGGAGCGGUAGGAGAAAGGAAGAACGAGAGGAGGAAAAACUAAAGCCAGCUCGCAGCUCUGAUGGUACGGUAAGAAGAAAAAGGGUCGAGAGGAGGAAGAACGGUAAAUUUGGAAGGGGGAGACCGUUCUGCCGUCUACACAGUGUGAGUAUGCCCGGACUGGGCAGUCCGCAAAAGCCGAAGUUUUGUAUGGGAUCGUGUCGUACACAUAUCCACUUACGUACCCAAGUAGCAACCGAAGCUUUUUUCUCCCAGUUUCAACCCCCUCAUGUCCACAAACUGCCUUCGCUUACUAAUCCUAUCCCGUUUCUACAUUCCACAACGUUUGUUGCGUUCUCGCUCAUCAGGGUGUUAGUCAAUUCUCUCUUGCCACACGAAGAGAAUUUUCCUGCACACUUCGUGUGUUGGAUUCUACUCAUCCCUGUUGAACACACGUCAUUUUCUUCCAUCGCACUCAUCUGGGUGUUUGCUCUUUUCCCUCCAAGCCAAAGAGCGACUUCAGUGUGCUCUGAACCGUGGAUGUGAGAGUGUGUGUUUGUGUGCUGCGUGCACUAUUUUUCCUGCGUGAAAACUUUCCAUACUGCGCCAUCCGCGGUGUUCUUUCUGCUUCAUCGGAGGACGAAUUUUUAUGAUCUAAUUGUUUGGGUAAGUGUCCUUUUCUAAGUGUCUAGUGCUAUGUGACAUUUAUUCUAAUUCUAAUAUUAUUCUAAUAUGCAAUGUUUUGCACAUUACAAGUUUCAAAUGUGUGCUGCUACCGCUAGCUGUUCCUCAAACUACUUAAAAAGUGUGACACUGUGUGCACAGGCGUUCAAGUUUCAAUUGAUCCUCAAGCACAAAGGUAAGUUUGUCACAUCUUUAAAUCAAGUGUAAUCUUUUUAACAAAGUGUGUCUAUUAAUUGCGUA